UCCCAGACAAACACAGGGCUCAUGUUCAGUUUCUAAACUUCACACCACCACAUUGUGUGAAGAAGAAAGUAGCGGCGGAGUACCAGGAGGGUGACAUCAAGUCUGAGAUUAAAUGACACACAGCCGCUCCAGAAGCAGGGAGACUUUUUGUUCACGCUGAGGAACUGCGAGAUGGAGAGAGCACCUGCUGAUUCUCCUGGACUCACCUUCAUCCUCAAAGUGUCUGCUUACCUCCCACCUUAGAAAACACUUUUAACCAUCAUCCUGGGUGUGGUGGCUACUCUGCUGGUUAUUUCUGCGAUAGUGCUUGUUUUAAUGAUUAAGUUUGAAGUUUUGGGCAGAGCCAAGACAUAUGACCAAGACCAGCUUGGCCGCAUCCACAAAUGGUACAUGAUGAAUCUGCACCAGGGUACAUACUUGUUAUUCUAUUUGGAGAUAAGUGCAAUCUGUGCAGUACCUUAAACUGUAGCAGGCCAUGUCUGACGCAGAGUGAUGAGGAAUGAAUUCUUGUGAUUGCAGCCUGCCAAGCUUCAUCUGUGAAGACUUGCCCCAGUUCUCCUUCCCAUAGAUUUUUGGCUGAGUGAUGGAGACACCGAACCCUGAAUCUUGCCAUAUAUGGCUGACACCAGGCCCUUAUCCAGUAGGUUCAUGUCCAAACAUUCAUCAAGCCAUGUUCUUUGGGGUAAUGUUAAAGAAAAAUUGGUCUUUACAAAACUGCGUACUUGUAGGUACCUGAAAAAGUCAGUUUGUGGGACAUCAAAGUCCAUUUUCAACUGCUCAAAAGAAAUGAAAUGGCCUCUUUUAAAGAGGUCCCUUACACAUGUUUUAUCUCUCCUAUGCCACUGUUGAAAUGAGGGAUCUAUCAAAGAUGGGGUGAAAUGAAUGUUGGACUGUAUAGCAAAUGCAAGUAGUGCCUACCUGCAUUUUAAAUGAGUCCUAAAUUUGAACCAUAUCUUUAAAGAGCCUUGAAGAACUAUAUUGCUUGUCCAAUGACAUCAAAGGGCUGCACAUCAAAGAGCUAAGUGAGACUGGGCUACUAGAGUGUUGUUCCAGGUGUACCUAGUCUGGAGAUUCAGCAUCAUCUGAUGGGUCUGUAAGCCAAUACAACAACUUAUGGAUGUUGGUUGCCCAGUAAAGAAAAUUGGGUAGGGAUAACUUACCAUCCUCCCUUCGUCUUUCUAAGUAUUCUUUCCUAAUUCUAGGGAUGUUUUUG